GCCUCAAUAGCUCAGCGGCAGAGCAAUGAGGCAUUGACCCAUGGGGCCCGGGUUCGAGCCCCGGUUGAUGCA